UAACUUAGAGUUCGUUAGAGUUUGAAUCCUGACUCAGGAUGAACGCUGGCGGCGUGCCUAAUACAUGCAAGUCGAGCGAAUGGAUUAAGAGCUUGCUCUUAUGAAGUUAGCGGCGGACGGGUGAGUAACACGUGGGUAACCUGCCCAUAAGGCUGGGAUAACUCCGGGAAACCGGGGCUAAUACCGGAUAACAUUUUGAACCGCAUGGUUCGAAAUUGAAAGGCGGCUUCGGCUGUCACUUAUGGAUGGACCCGCGUCGCAUUAGCUAGUUGGUGAGGUAACGGCUCACCAAGGCACCGAUGCGUAGCCGACCUGAGAGGGUGAUCGGCCCCCCUGGGACUGAGACCCGGCCCAGACUCCUACGGGAGGCAGCAGUAGGGAAUUUUCCGCAAUGGACGAAAGUUUGACGGAGCAACGCCGCGUGAGUGAUGAAGGCUUUCGGGUUGUAAAACUUUGUUGUUAGGGAAGAACAAGUGAUAGUUGAAUAAGCUGGCACCUUGACGGUACCUAACCAGAAAGCCACGGCUAACUACGUGCCAGCAGCCGCGGUAAUACGUAGGUGGCAAGCGUUAUCCGGAAUUAUUGGGCGUAAAGCGCGCGCAGGUGGUUUCUUAAGUCUGAUGUGAAAGCCCCCGGCUCAACCGUGGAGGGUCAUUGGAAACUGGGAGACUUGAGUGCAGAAGAGGAAAGUGGAAUUCCAUGUGUAGCGGUGAAAUGCGUAGAGAUAUGGAGGAACACCAGUGGCGAAGGCGACUUUCUGGUCUGUAACUGACACUGAGGCGCGAAAGCGUGGGGAGCAAACAGGAUUAGAUACCCUGGUAGUCCACGCCGUAAACGAUGAGUGCUAAGUGUUAGAGGGUUUCCGCCCUUUAGUGCUGCAAGUUACCGCAUUAAGCACUCCGCCGGGAUCCCCGAU
rnacentral:rRNA from 1 species